GCUUCGGCGCCUCCGUUCGGAGCUUCUAAAGGAAGGGGCAUCUGUGCAGACCGUGGUCAGCCAGAUUCACGUGUAGUCUGCGCUGAACCCAUAGGGCUAAACAGCCCUGAGCUCUACUAGUGAAUAUCUGGUUGGAGGGGAAAUGAACAGCGAUGAGAAAUGGCAAAUUGCCACCAGAAAGACUAGCAAGAGUGAAAAGCCUGCCUCAAAGCCUGAGGCUGCAUGGGAACCCAUGAGAAAAGGAGCUGUGCUGAGCCUUGUCCUCACCAAUGAGGAGGGACUGGUGAGUAAUGUGAAGCUCAAGGACAUUCUUGGUUGUGGUGUUCAAAAUCCUCAGGAUGUUAAAGAAGGUGCACAGCAAGCUUGCCACUCAGGAGAGCAGACUUUGAACUCUUCAGGGAACUGCUUGGCAGGGUGAUAUGAGAGAAAUGCCUGGAGGGAAGAGGUGCCUAAGAAAGCUGGCUGGUAUUCAAGGACCAUCUGCUCCAAGCCCAGAAGCAGUGCAUCCUGAGAGAAAAGAAGGCAAGAAUGCCAGGAAGCCUCCAUGGAUCAACAAGAAGCUCCUGGACUUAUUUAGCUCGAAAAGAAAGACUAUAGAGAGCGGAAGCAGGAACAGGCUGCUUAGAUAAAGGAAGAAAUUCUUUACUGUGAGGGUGGUGAGAAACUGGAACAGGUUGCACGAAACGGCUGUGGAUGGUCCCUCCCUGGAAGCAUUCAAGGCCAAGCUGGAUGGGGCUGUGAGCAACCUGGUGUAGAGGGAGGUGUCCCUGCCUGUAGCAGGGGUGGUGGAACAAGAUGAUCUUAAGGGUUCCUUCCAACCCAGACCGUUCUGUGAUUCUGUGUAUUGAGUCACCUAUUACAUUAGGAUAACACACUUGACUUGGAUGGCAGCUUUGCUCCCUUCCUGCACCACCCAUCACUUCUGCAGGGCAGAUCUGAUGGGCUCUGUGUAACGAGGCCAGCCCUUGUUCCAGAAAUGCUUCCUUGUCCCGUGCGAGCGGCUGAAGAUGGCCUGGAAGCAGUGACAGCAAUGGCUUGCGUCUUUCUGUACAAUACAUUCCGUACACUUCCAAGUAUUCAGAACAGGUGCAACUGUUUUUAAACCCCUCUUUAUAUCAGCUGUUGCUGCCGACCCGUUCUGCAAAAGCUUCUCCUUCCGGACGCGGUGGCACUGAGUGCUGCUCCGCCUUCAGCCGCUGAGCGGCAGGAGCAGCACGGGA